rnacentral:rRNA from 1 species
GGGGAAUUUUCCGCAAUGGGCGAAAGCCUGACGGAGCAAUACCGCGUGAGGGGGGAAGGCUCUUGGGUUGUAAACCUCUUUUCUCAGGGAAUAAGAACUGAAGGUACCUGAGGAAUCAGCAUCGGCUAACUCCGUGCCAGCAGCCGCGGUAAUACGGAGGAUGCAAGCGUUAUCCGGAAUGAUUGGGCGUAAAGCGUCCGCAGGUGGUUUAUCAAGUCUGCUGUCAAAGAGUUUGGCUCAACCAAAUAAAGGCAGUGGAAACUGACAGACUGGAGUGCGGUAAGGGCAGAGGGAAUUCCUGGNUGUAGCGGUGAAAUGCGUAGAGAUCAGGAAGAACACCGGUGGCGAAAGCGCUCUGCUGGGCCGUAACUGGCACUGAGGGACGAAAGCUAGGGGAGCGAAUGGGAUUAGAUACCCCAGUAGUC